rnacentral:rRNA from 1 species
CCCUUAGAUGUUCUGGGCCGCACGCGCGCUACACUGAUGCAUUCAACGAGUUUCUUCCUGGUCCGAGAGGAAUGGGUAACCUUUUGAAAGUGCAUCGUGAUAGGGAUAGACUAUUGCAAUUAUUGGUCUUCAACGAGGAAUUCCUAGUAGACGUAGUUCAUCAGACUGCAUCGAUUACGUCCCUGCCCUUUGUACACACCGCCCGUCGCUCCUACCGAUUGGAUGGUCCGGUGAAGCCUCGGGAUUGUGGUUCUUGCCGCUUUAUUGUGGCGUGACCGCGAGAACUUGUCUAAACCUUAUCAUCUAGAGGAAGGUGAAGUCGUAACA